GACGAACGCUGGCGGCGUGCUUAACACAUGCAAGUCGAACGGAAAGGCCCUGCUUUGGUGGGGUGCUCGAGUGGCGAACGGGUGAGUAACACGUGAGUAACCUGCCCUUGACUUUGGGAUAACUUCAGGAAACUGGGGCUAAUACCGGAUAGGAGCUCCUGCUGCAUGGUGGGGAUUGGAAAGUUUCGGCGGUUGGGGAUGGACUCGCGGCUUAUCAGCUUGUUGGUGGGGUAGUGGCUUACCAAGGCUUUGACGGGUAGCCGGCCUGAGAGGGUGACCGGCCACAUUGGGCUUGGAAUGCGGCACAGACUCCUCCGGGAGGCAGCAGUGGGGAAUAUUGCACAAUGGGCGGAAGCCUGAUGCAGCCCCGCCGCGUGCGGGAUGACGGCCUUCGGGUUGUAAACCGCAUUCGCCUGUGACGAAGCGUGAGUGACGGUAAUGGGUGAAGAAGCACCGGCUAACUACGUG
rnacentral:rRNA from 1 species